GUGUCUCCUUCCAACAGCACAUCACCCCAAAAGCAAUAUGUGAAAAAGUGGGUAUAUGGGUUGGAAUAAGGUAAAGAAAGGAAUUUCAAGCUCCAUACCAUGGCAUGAGAGACCCAGAAGACCAGGCAAUCUCUUCCUGAAUUCUUGACCUGCAGAAACAGAUUUUGUAGCUGGAAUAUGCUG